UCCGUAGGUGAACCUGCGGAGGGAUCAUUACUGAGUUUACGCUCUACAACCCUUUGUGAACAUACCUAUAACUGUUGCUUCGGCGGGUAGGGUCUCCGCGACCCUCCCGGCCUCCCGCCCCCGGGCGGGUCGGCGCCCGCCGGAGGAUAACCAAACUCUGAUUUAACGACGUUUCUUCUGAGUGGUACAAGCAAAUAAUCAAAACUUUUAACAACGGAUCUCUUGGUUCUGGCAUCGAUGAAGAACGCAGCGAAAUGCGAUAAGUAAUGUGAAUUGCAGAAUUCAGUGAAUCAUCGAAUCUUUGAACGCACAUUGCGCCCGCCAGCAUUCUGGCGGGCAUGCCUGUUCGAGCGUCAUUUCAACCCUCAAGCUCUGCUUGGUGUUGGGGCCCUACAGCCGAUGUAGGCCCUCAAAGGUAGUGGCGGACCCUCCCGGAGCCUCCUUUGCGUAGUAACUUUACGUCUCGCACUGGGAUCCGGAGGGACUCUUGCCGUAAAACCCCCCAAUUUUCCAAAGGUUGACCUCGGAUCAGGUAGGAAUACCCGCUGAACUUAAGCAUAUCA
rnacentral:rRNA from 1 species